AUUAGGAGCGCGGGCGCUCCUAGAUCGCGCAUGCAAGGCAGAGCUAAAGCCACAACAGAAGAUUGAACUUGUACGGACUCACUUGUUGCCACGACUCUUGUAUACGUUGACAGUGGGUAAUCCACUUAGUCAUACAGCGAGUUCCAUUGAUAUAAUGGUGCGGCAAGCGGUCAAGCGGAUUUUACAUCUGCCCGUCAGUUCGUUGUCGAAUGAUUUUAUCCAUUUAUCGAGGAAGAAAGAAGGACUCGGUUUUAUCAAUUUGCAAGAAACGGCUGACCCAUGUACGAUAGGAUUGCUGCUCAGCAUGAGCACAAGUGCGGAAGAGGCUGCUCGGCGUAUCUCCGAGCUCUGGCUUAACCAACGGCGACGAAGUCGAUUAAUGAGGCGGCAAGGCGUGCAGACAUUUGACCAAGCUGGUAUCCACGCAGCCAAAAUUUCUAGAGCUGCUGCCAGAGAGGACAGGUUUAUGGCUUCAUAUCAAGGAGCAGGCUACAAGGAGUUCCGUGAUUGGCGCAGUAAUGGGUGGAUUACUGGCGAAGGGAUGACGGGGCACAGCUUCAUCGCUGCUGUCAAGGUACGAACUUCUCUGGUCCCUACGCGAUUGCAGACCCUCAGGGGUCGAGCUGAACCGGGAGACCAGAGAGUUCUAUGCCGGAAGUGCGGCGCGGUAAGCGGUGCCCCUGAAUCCGUGGUUCACAUCUCCCAAAACUGUGCCUUCACAGGCGGGCUCAUAAUCCGGAGGCAUAACGACAUUAUGGAAAAGCUGAUGCAGUCAGCAGAAGCCUCCGGAUUCCAUCUUGUACACGAGCCCGUGAUCCGGUUAGGAGAGGAAACUUUCAAACCGGAUCUGCUCUUAACGAAGGAGGACUUCUGUUGGGUCCUAGAUGUAGCAGUUACUUGGGAAUCCAAUGAUUCCCUCAACAGGAGGCACGCGGAAAAGUGCCGAAAGUACGAACGCCUCAAGGAGGCGGCAUGCAAGCUCACUGGAGGAAAGGAUUUCGGCACAGGAGCCGUGGUUAUAGGAGCUCGGGGCGACUGGUGCAGCCAAAAUGAUGUUACUUUCCAAAAGCUGGGUUGGAAUAUAAGCGAGAGACUUACAACACUGUUGUGCACGAUGGCACUCGAACGAACAGUGCAACUGGUCAAUUGGUUUACGAGAAGUACCACGGAAUUGGCGUUCCGGGCUGGUCGACGGGGGCGGCACGCUCAAAACCGGACUUGACAACAACCAACCUUGGAAUUCACCAUGGAGUAGCCCACUCCAACGAUGCGGCUAAGACAAACAAGGGCAACCGGAAAAUUGACGCAGCGCGAUAAGGCCUACAUGUCCGGCCUGAAUAUCGCAAGCAAUGGACGCCGAAUGUGCAAGAACACAAGCCGCAACGCACAAGCGGACUACACACUACAUUACUCUAAGUUGAUUAUUCUACUUAGUUGCAUUUCUUUCCGUUCGUACUGAAUUUUGCGUUAAUUUUGUUUUGGUUCAUUGCGUCUACUUUUGGUUCAUUAUGUUGCAGCAACUCUCUUAUGUUCGGUUUCGCAAGCCUUACUUACAUUUAGUUAAAAUUGCAAAUAAACUUUGAAUAGCCAAAUGCCUCGUCAUCUGAUUAGUGACGCGCAUGAAUGGAUCAACAAGAUUCCUACUGUCCCUAUCUACUGUCUAGCGAAACCACAGUCAAGGGAACGGGCUUGUCAAAAUCAGCGGGGAAGGAAGACCCUGUUGAGCUUGACUCUAGUCUGACUCUGUGAAGAGACAUUGAAGGUGUAGCACAGGUGGGAGGCCGGUGGCCGCUUGCGCUGCCGCGCUGACAGUGAAACACCACUACUUUGAUCGUUUCUUUACUUAUUCGGUCAAGCGGAAGGAACGGUCGCUCGCAGUGAACGGAGUGAACGUAUGAGGCUCUAGGCUUACUGUAGGCACAUAUACAGGUAGUUCUCAUAUAACGCGUGCUCAUAUAACGCGUUUUUGCUCCUACGCGAUUUUGAAAUAUUGGGUUGUUUCAUAAGUUCGUUCCGUUUUCUUUAGAAGUAAAUUUUUUUUGUAUGCAGUUGCUGUCAUGCCAAGCAGUAUAUAUCAUUCAAUACCUCUCGAUGUUAUCUGCGAAUUAGUAUAGUUAAAUUUUAAUAUCGCGCUCUUGAGAAGUUUCAGCUUAACUGGAA
rnacentral:ncRNA from 1 species